GACGUAGGAGGCGAGCGUUGUCCGGAUUCAUUGGGCGUAAAGAGCGCGCAGGCGGCUUGGUAAGUCGGAUGUGAAAUCCCGAGGCUCAACCUCGGGUCUGCAUCCGAUACUGCCCGGCUAGAGGUAGGUAGGGGAGAUCGGAAUUCCUGGUGUAGCGGUGAAAUGCGCAGAUAUCAGGAGGAACACCAAUGGCGAAGGCAGCUCGCUGGGACGGUACUGACGCUGAGACGCGAAAGCGUGGGGAGCAAACAGG
rnacentral:rRNA from 1 species